AUUGAACGCUGGCGGCAGGCCUAACACAUGCAAGUCGGACGGUAGCACAGAGGAGCUUGCUCCUCGGGUGACGAGUGGCGGACGGGUGAGUAAUGUCUGGGGAUCUGCCCGAUAGAGGGGGAUAACCACUGGAAACGGUGGCUAAUACCGCAUAACGUCGCAAGACCAAAGAGGGGGACCUUCGGGCCUCUCACUAUCGGAUGAACCCAGAUGGGAUUAGCUAGUAGGCGGGGUAACGGCCCACCUAGGCGACGAUCCCUAGCUGGUCUGAGAGGAUGACCAGCCACACUGGAACUGGGACACGGUCCAGACUCCUACGGGAGUCAGCAGUGGGGAAUAUUGCACAAUGGGCGCAAGCCUGAUGCAGCCAUGCCGCGUGUAUGAAGAAGGCCUCCGGGUUGUAAAGUACUUUCAGCGGGGAGGAAGGCGAUGUGGUUAAUAACCGCGUCGAUUGACGUUACCCGCAGAAGAAGCACCGGCUAACUCCGUGCCAGCCGCCGCCGUAA
rnacentral:rRNA from 1 species